GACAAGUCCGCUUAAAGGCAACACUGCUUAAUACGGAGAAGCACUUGAGCGGUAGGAUACAGCCGUCAAGGGAUAUAAGAUCUGUCUUAGUGGAACUAUCAACCCUAGAGCUAUGUCUCCUGCUAUGGAUAAUGGUGGAAAUGGGAAGUUUAAUGUGUUCCCUCCCACUCCUACUCUCACAAUCCACCCAAUUCCAAUACUUCGUCAUGCUUCUCUAUGAAUCCCAUAAGAGCUUUUAAAUGGGUAUAGGAAAGAAGGUGUCUUAUAGAGCAUCAGACCUGGCAAAUUGGAGACCAGACAGCAACCAUUCAUAAGUUAAAUCCCUGGCAGUAUUCUGAGAAGGAAUCUUCAAGGAUCAUCGGUUUUCCAAAUAGCAAUUUCAGAAUAUGUGUUUAAUAUACU
rnacentral:lncRNA from 1 species